rnacentral:rRNA from 1 species
AACGAACGCUGGCGGCAGGCCUAACACAUGCAAGUCGAGCGAGAUCUUCGGGUCUAGCGGCGGACGGGAGAGUAACGCGUGGGAAUAUGCCUCUUGGUACGGAAUAGCCUCGGGAAACUGGGAGUAAUACCGUAUGUGCCCUUUGGGGGAAAGAUUUAUCGCCAAGAGAUUAGCCCGCGUUGGAUUAGGUAGUUGGUGGGGUAAUGGCCUACCAAGCCGACGAUCCAUAGCUGGUUUGAGAGGAUGAUCAGCCACACUGGGACUGAGACACGGCCCAGACUCCUACGGGAGGCAGCAGUGGGGAAUCUUAGACAAUGGGGGCAAACCUGAUCGAGCCAUGCCGCGUGAGUGAUGAAGGCCUUAGGGUUGUAAAGCUCUUUCAGCUGGGAAGAUAAUGACGGUACCAGCAGAAGAAGCCCCGGCUAACUCCGUG